rnacentral:rRNA from 1 species
UUCGGGAAACCGGAGCUAAUACCGGAUAAUAUUUUGAACCGCAUGGUUCAAAAGUGAAAGACGGUCUUGCUGUCACUUAUAGAUGGAUCCGCGCUGCAUUAGCUAGUUGGUAAGGUAACGGCUUACCAAGGCAACGAUGCAUAGCCGACCUGAGAGGGUGAUCGGCCACACUGGAACUGAGACACGGUCCAGACUCCUACGGGAGGCAGCAGUAGGGAAUCUUCCGCAAUGGGCGAAAGCCUGACGGAGCAACGCCGCGUGAGUGAUGAAGGUCUUCGGAUCGUAAAACUCUGUUAUUAGGGAAGAACAUAUGUGUAAGUAACUGUGCACAUCUUGACGGUACCUAAUCAGAAAGCCACGGCUAACUACGUGCCAGCAGCCGCGGUAAUACGUAGGUGGCAAGCGUUAUCCGGAAUUAUUGGGCGUAAAGCGCGCGUAGGCGGUUUUUUAAGUCUGAUGUGAAAGCCCACGGCUCAACCGUGGAGGGUCAUUGGAAACUGGAAAACUUGAGUGCAGAAGAGGAAAGUGGAAUUCCAUGUGUAGCGGUGAAAUGCGCAGAGAUAUGGAGGAACACCAGUGGCGAAGGCGACUUUCUGGUCUGUAACUGACGCUGAUGUGCGAAAGCGUGGGGAUCAAACAGGAUUAGAUACCCUGGUAGUCCACGCCGUAAACGAUGAGUGCUAAGUGUUAGGGGGUUUCCGCCCCUUAGUGCUGCAGCUAACGCAUUAAGCACUCCGCCUGGGGAGUACGACCGCAAGGUUGAAACUCAAAGGAAUUGACGGGGACCCGCACAAGCGGUGGAGCAUGUGGUUUAAUUCGAAGCAACGCGAAGAACCUUACCAAAUCUUGACAUCCUUUGACAACUCUAGAGAUAGAGCCUUCCCCUUCGGGGGACAAAGUGACAGGUGGUGCAUGGUUGUCGUCAGCUCGUGUCGUGAGAUGUUGGGUUAAGUCCCGCAACGAGCGCAACCCUUAAGCUUAGUUGCCAUCAUUAAGUUGGGCACUCUAAGUUGACUGCCGGUGACAAACCGGAGGAAGGUGGGGAUGACGUCAAAUCAUCAUGCCCCUUAUGAUUUGGGCUACACACGUGCUACAAUGGACAAUACAAAGGGCAGCGAAACCGCGAGGUCAAGCAAAUCCCAUAAAGUUGUUCUCAGUUCGGAUUGUAGUCUGCAACUCGACUACAUGAAG